rnacentral:rRNA from 1 species
UACGUAGGUGGCAAGCGUUGUCCGGAUUUACUGGGUGUAAAGGGCGUGUAGCCGGGCUGACAAGUCAGAUGUGAAAUCCGGGGGCUCAACCCCCGAACUGCAUUUGAAACUGUUGGUCUUGAGUAUCGGAGAGGCAGGCGGAAUUCCUGGUGUAGCGGUGAAAUGCGUAGAUAUUAGGAGGAACACCAGUGGCGAAGGCGGCCUGCUGGACGAUAACUGACGUUGAGGCUCGAAAGCGUGGGGAGCAAACAGG